rnacentral:rRNA from 1 species
UACCUUGUUACGACUUCACCCCAGUUACCGGCUCCACCUUCGGCAGCUCCUUCCUUUCGGUUAGGUCACUGACUUCGGGCAUUUCCGACUCCCAUGGUGUGACGGGCGGUGUGUACAAGACCCGGGAACGUAUUCACCGCGACAUUCUGAUUCGCGAUUACUAGCGAUUCCAGCUUCAUGUAGUCGAGUUGCAGACUACAAUCCGAACUGGGACGUUAUUUUUGGGAUUUGCUCAACGUCACCGUCUCGCUUCCCUUUGUUUACGCCAUUGUAGCACGUGUGUAGCCCUGAUCAUAAGGGGCAUGAUGAUUUGACGUCAUCCCCGCCUUCCUCCCGGUUAUCCCGGGCAGUCUCUCCAGAGUGCCCAGCUCUACCUGCUGGCUACUGGAAAUAGGGGUUGCGCUCGUUGCGGGACUUAACCCAACAUCUCACGACACGAGCUGACGACAACCAUGCACCACCUGUCUCCAAUGCCCCGAAAGGAAAGUGACUUUG